CCGAUUAUGGAGCAGAGACGCAAAUCAUCCGCCGUGUGGGACCAUUUUGAUGUCCUGGAGAAUAAGGUGAAAUGUCGAAUUUGCCAAGUCGAAUUGUCAUACACCAACAGAAGCACCUCCACCAUGCUGAGGCAUUAUCGGGCCAAGCAUGAGAAUGAAGUUCGCGAUACACCCAGUAUUACGCCAGGUUCCAGGAAGCAGCUGUACUGGAAGGACCAACACACUUCUUUCCCAAACCUCUCCCACCUCGCAAAGGAGUUCCUUUGUACGCCAGCCUCAUCCGUCCCUUGUGAGCGUGUGUUCUCC